AUGUACCACCUUGCCCAGUUGAUUUUAUUAUUUUUAUACUUUUUUCUUCUUUUGCCACAUUGUACUUGCCGCUUUGCCUUUUCAAAGCUGAAAUUCCUUGAGGCUGAACAUUGUGUCUUAAUGCAAACAGUCAUUCUCCAAGUUAUUUGUUUUGGAAAUAUUACUUCUUCCUGUAUCAGAUUUACCUUAAGGUAAUUCCAGUUCUCAUGGGCUUCCUCAAGAUGUGGAUGGCAUAAAGGACACAGAUACCAAGAAGAGCUCACCAUCAUGGCUUUCCUCACGAUAGGCUGCCCUGCUUUCUCCAGGUGUCCUUUUAUUGAUUUUUUCCUUUUACUCAGGCCAACCUCCCUCUGCCAAGCCAGUUUCUCCCCUACUCUUCACUUUUACUUUCUAGAAUAAAGUUUGUCACUGUUUUUUGCUCAUUUUGUUCAAUUCUUUGCUCCAGAUGAGAAGAACCUGGAAUCUAACUCCAGAAGGAGAGAUGAGCAACCCAGAACCUGCUAAUGCUUAAUUGGUGAGCCACCUUUGGAAGCAGGCUACCCAGAAACAGAAGGAGGAUCACCUUGAGUUCGAGGCCAGCCUGGGCUACAUAGUGAGUUCGAGGCCAGCCUGGACUACAUACAUAGCAAGACCCUGUCUCAAAAAGACCAAAUAAAUAAUAAAUGAAUAAAUAAAUGUCUGAAUUGGAAUUCAAAAAGAAAAGAAGAAAAGUAAUUCCGUGUUGUCCCCUAAGACAUUAUAAGAUUUAACUGAAAAGAAUCAGUUGACUGUCUUUUUCUUUUUUUCUAUGAAUAGAACAGUAAGGACAAAGAUGAACAGUAGUAUUUUUCUUCUGUGCAGUUCCCUUCCAUGUUUUGGGCAGUAGAGAAAGGGAGAGGCAAAUUUCUCCCCAGUCCCUCGUUUCUCUCCCUCUAGCAGGGUGUUUUCUGUAAUUGGCUUUCCACAUUUGCCAAGAGUCUGUUUCCUCUUAACAUCCAACAUGCUUAACAGAAGCCUUGUAAUAGUUCCAAAAAUGAUAAAACCAGACCCAAGAAUAAAAUGAUACACACGACACAUUUGUUUUGGCCAUAGCUUUGGUUAAGUUCUUUUAAAUAAUUUAGGGUUAAAUGUGGUAGAAAUAAAGAUGUUUUCUUCACAGUAAUAAGACCAAAAAGAUGCAGUCAGUGACUCGUGCAGGGUUCAGGGGAGGGGUGAGUUGUCAACACAGAGGCGGGUACAGGACCCUGUGAAAAAGAAGGCACUUCAGUAUUGUGGAUCCAUGUAUGUGUAUAUGUGCCUGUGUGCAGAUGUGGGGGUACUUCUGUGUGUGUGUGUGUGCGUGUGUGUUGCUGUGCAUUGAACACAGGGCCUUAGACAUGCUAUGCAAGUGCUCUAUUGCUGAGCUGCAUUCUCAGCUCUUUAUUUUUUGGCUUUGAGACAGGAUCUUUCUAAAUUGCACAAGCUGGCCUCAAACUUGUGAUUCUCCUGCAUCAGCCUCCUGAGUGACUGGAAUUAGAGGUGUGUUACAUUUCCUAUAAUGCUGUAUUCUGAAGGAACAAGAGCUCAUCCAUCCAGUGUAUCCUUAGGGCUGUUCUUAACCAGAUGAAAUCCAUUUCUCACAUUGUCAAUUAUUAAAAGCAACAUUAGCUUCUUUUUUUCUUUUUUGCUACUGGGGCUCAAACUGAGGACCUUGUGCUUUUGAGGCAGGUGCAGUGCCACUGAGAUAAAUCCCUGGCCCAACAUUAGCUUCUAUUUUACUCUACCCUGUCAUCAGUUCUAAUACAGUGGUUAAAAUGUCCAACAAUAAAUGUCUGUGCUUUAAUAAUUACAUGUUUGACAAGUGAAAAAAAUGCAGGCUUUCUUUAAAGGAUACUACUGUUUGUGUGUGUUGUUGUUGUUUUUGGUACCAGGGAUCGAACUCGGGACCUUAUGCUUGCGAGGCAGGCACCGGAACCACUGAGCUAAAUCCCAGUAUCCCAAGGAUACUACUGUUUAGUUUAGUUUAGUUUUGUUUUUUGUACCUGGGAUCGAACUGGGGACGUUACGCUUGUGAGGCAGGCGGCUGCACCACUGAGCUAAAUCCCUGGCCCACUGCUCUUUAGCUUUAAUAUUAUUAUUAUUAAGGCAUCUUUAAGUAUUCAGUGCGUCUGGACUUAGGAAAAGCGUUUUAAUCCUAGAGAGAGGUUAGAGGCAGCGGACAAGCAGGUAACGGAGCUAACAGCAGAGUCUGUGAUUUUUUGCAAGCUAUUUUA
rnacentral:lncRNA from 1 species